rnacentral:RNase_P_RNA from 1 species
CGACUUCAUUGUAUGAUUGCGGCGUUUUACGCUGAGGAAAGUCCGAGCAUCAAAGAGCAGGAUAGUUGAUAACGUCAACCGAGGGCGACCUUAGGGCUAGUGCAACAGAGAUAUACCGCCUUUUUAAAAGGUAAGGGUGGAAAGGUGAGGUAAGAGCUUACCAGAGUUUAGGUGACUAAACUGCUAUGUAAACCCUAUCCGAUGCAACACCGUUUUGGUUCAAGGAGAAAACCGUCUGCUCGAUGGUCCUUGUAUAGGUGGCUGGAGCAAUGUGGCGACAUAUUGCCAAGAUAGAUAAUCGUACACGACAGAACUCGGCUUAUAGAUGAAGUCGCUUU